CUUUGAAAUUUUGAGCCAAAACAUUGUCAAAUUUCUCAAGAUAUAGCUCAAGAGACAACCACUAACAAAUCUGGUUAUUUACUACCCUUAGAUUGCAUGCACUGACUUCAAAAUUCAAUAACUCCUUUACUUCAACUUGGAAUCCAAUAAGGAGUGCAUGAAAAGUGUAGCUGGAAAAGUGCUCUCUCUAGUCGCGAUCACCGAUCCUCAAUUGCUACAUGUGCGUUAUGUCAAAAAGAGUGAUAGUAGCUCUCAAAUCAUUACCUUAACUUUGAGCGCUUGUAUCUCCUUCAUAUAAACUCCAAACUAUACAAAACUUAUACCAAAACCAUAG
rnacentral:lncRNA from 1 species